AGCAGUGUAGCAUAGCGGUAAGAAGUAAGACUUGUGACCGAAAGGUUGCCGGUUCGAUUCCCCACUGCUG